rnacentral:misc_RNA from 1 species
ACACCUCAACUCUCAUGGCUUGCCAUGAUGAGCUUGGACCAUGGGGGUCUUGCUGGCCUGCAGUCGGCUCCCCUCAAAUGAAUCAGCUUGCCAGUGUUUGGUGGCGUCACAGGUGUGAUAAAUAUCUACGCUUGUGGCUUUCCGCCAGGUAACCUUCAGCAAUGGAGGUUCGCUGGGGCUCAUAAAUGUCUCUCCUCAGUGAGGACAGCUCUUUGAAC